rnacentral:sRNA from 1 species
CGGGACAGUGCGCAGUAGUGCGAGCUGCCCGUCGUGGUAGAUGUAAAUAAACGGUGGGACGGCUGCAAAAGAGCCUUUCCACUGGGUAAAAUCAAACUGUGCCGCGGAACCCGCUCCUCAGCUAGUCACACUUCGGAAGCGCGGGCAACGCAGGUAUUAUCGUCUAAAGGGCCGGCUGCAACCGGCCC